rnacentral:rRNA from 1 species
GAUGAACGCUGGCGGCGUGCCUAAUACAUGCAAGUCGAGCGAACAGACGAGGAGCUUGCUCCUCUGACGUUAGCGGCGGACGGGUGAGUAACACGUGGAUAACCUACCUAUAAGACUGGGAUAACUUCGGGAAACCGGAGCUAAUACCGGAUAAUAUAUUGAACCGCAUGGUUCAAUAGUGAAAGACGGUUUUGCUGUCACUUAUAGAUGGAUCCGCGCCGCAUUAGCUAGUUGGUAAGGUAACGGCUUACCAAGGCAACGAUGCGUAGCCGACCUGAGAGGGUGAUCGGCCACACUGGAACUGAGACACGGUCCAGACUCCUACGGGAGGCAGCAGUAGGGAAUCUUCCGCAAUGGGCGAAAGCCUGACGGAGCAACGCCGCGUGAGUGAUGAAGGUCUUCGGAUCGUAAAACUCUGUUAUUAGGGAAGAACAAAUGUGUAAGUAACUAUGCACGUCUUGACGGUACCUAAUCAGAAAGCCACGGCUAACUAAGUG